rnacentral:rRNA from 1 species
GAUGAACGCUGGCGGCGUGCCUAAUACAUGCAAGUCGAGCGAACAGACGAGGAGCUUGCUCCUCUGACGUUAGCGGCGGACGGGUGAGUAACACGUGGAUAACCUACCUAUAAGACUGGGAUAACUUCGGGAAACCGGAGCUAAUACCGGAUAAUAUAUUGAACCGCAUGGUUCAAUAGUGAAAGACGGUUUUGCUGUCACUUAUAGAUGGAUCCGCGCCGCAUUAGCUAGUUGGUAAGGUAACGGCUUACCAAGGCAACGAUGCGUAGCCGACCUGAGAGGGUGAUCGGCCACACUGGAACUGAGACACGGUCCAGACUCCUACGGGAGGCAGCAGUAGGGAAUCUUCCGCAAUGGGCGAAAGCCUGGCGGAGCAACGCCGCGUGAGUGAUGAAGGUCUUCGGAUCGUAAAACUGUGUUAUUAGGGAAGAACAAAUGUGUAAGUAACUAUGCACGUCUUGACGGUACCUAAUCAGAAAGCCACGGCUAACUACGUG